rnacentral:misc_RNA from 1 species
GAUGAAGAACGUAGCGAAAUGCGAUAAGUAGUGUGAAUUGCAGAAUUCAGUGAAUCAUCGAAUCUUUGAACGCACAUUGCGCCCCUUGGUAUUCCAUGGGGCAUGCCUGUUCGAGCGUCAUUUGUACCUUCAAGCUCUGCUUGGUGUUGGGUGUUUGUCUCGCCUCUGCGUGUAGACUCGCCUCAAAACAAUUGGCAGCCGGCGUAUUGAUUUCGGAGCGCAGUACAUCUCGCGCUUUGCACUCAUAACGACGACGUCCAAAAGUACAUUUUUACACUCUUGACCUCGGAUCAGGUAGGGAUACCCACUGAACUUAAGCAUAUCAAUAAGCGGAGGA